UACGUAGGCAGCAAGCGUUGUUCGGAGUUACUGGGCGUAAAGGGUGUGUAGGCGGUUCUUUAAGUUUGGUGUGAAAUCUCCCGGCUCAACUGGGAGGGUGCGCCGAAUACUGAGGGACUAGAGUACGGGAGAGGAAAGUGGAAUUCCUGGUGUAGCGGUGAAAUGCGUAGAUAUCAGGAGGAACACCGGUGGCGAAGGCGGAUCUCUGGGCCUUACCUGACGCUGAGGCGCGAAAGCUAGGGGAGCGAACAGG
rnacentral:rRNA from 1 species